GGACCCGCACAAGUAGUGGAGCAUGUGGUUUAAUUCGAAGAUACGCGCAGAACCUUACCAACACUUGACAUGUUCGUCGCGACUCUAAGAGAUUAGAGUUUUCGGUUCGGCCGGACGAAACACAGGUGCUGCAUGGCUGUCGUCAGCUCGUGUCGUGAGAUGUUGGGUUAAGUCCCGCAACGAGCGCAACCCUCACUUUUAGUUGCCAUCAUUUAGUUGGGCACUCUGAAAGAACUGCCAGUGAUAAGCUGGAGGAAGGUGGGGAUGACGUCAAGUCCUCAUGGCCCUUACGUGUUGGGCUACACACGUGCUACAAUGGUAUCUACAACAGGAAGCAAAACUGCGAGGUUAAGCAAAUCCUUAAAAGAUAACCUCAGUUCGGAUUGCACUCUGCAACUCGAGUGCAUGAAGCUGGAAUUACUAGUAAUCGU
rnacentral:rRNA from 1 species